rnacentral:rRNA from 1 species
UACGUAGGUCCCGAGCGUUGUUCGGAGUUACUGGGCGUAAAGGGUGCGUAGGCGGCCUCCGCAAGUCAGUUGUGAAAUCUCCGAGCUUAACUCGGAAAGGUCAACUGAUACUGCGGGGCUAGAGUGCGGAAGGGGCAACUGGAAUUCUUGGUGUAGCGGUGAAAUGCGUAGAUAUCAAGAGGAACACCUGCGGCGAAGGCGGGUUGCUGGGCCGACACUGACGCUGAGGCGCGAAAGCUAGGGGAGCGAACGGG